GCUCUGGUGGCGCAAUAGGUUAGCGUGCGGUAGUUAUAAUGCCGAGGCUGUGAGUUCGAUCCUCACCCAGAGCA